CCAGCAGCCGCGGUAAUUCCAGCUCCAGAAGCGUAUACAAAAGUUGCUGCAGUUAAAAAGCUCGUAGCCGGAGUUCGGCGUAGCCUCAGGGUUCUCCAGUGUUACUGGGGACGCCCUCAGGGCUGCGCUUAUGCACGUGGAACCACGGGACCAUUCAUUUGGCUUCGCGGGAAAGCGUGCCGUUUACCAUGAGUAAAUGGGAGUGCUUAAAGCAGGCGUCAGCCUGAACUUUUCAGCAUGGGAUAAUAGAAUAAGACUGCGUCUUAUUUCGUUGGUUUGCGAGACAGCAGUAAUGAUUAAUAGGGGCGUUCGGGGGCAUCGGUAUUUCUUGGGGAGUGGUGAAAUGCGUAGAUCCAAGAAGGACCACCGGAAGCGAAAGCGUUUGUCA
rnacentral:rRNA from 1 species